AACAAUCUGUCGGGUAAAUCACAGAAUCACUGUCUGACUUCCUCAAGGCCACUACCAUGAGCAGAUAUACAGUGAUGUUGCUUGUUUGCAUGCUCUGCUUUUUUGGUUACCGCUGCAACGCUAAGCCCAUGGAUCAUCAAGAAGUAGAAGAAAGAGCUGGCAAGGUUUAUUGUGGUCAAUAUAGCUGCAAGGAUGGCACCUGCCCGCCUGUCUGCUAUUGUCAAUCCUCCUGGCAAAAUUGGUUUUACAGUUAUAAAAGUUGUGUCUGCGGUGUGGCCGGAUCAUGCUAGUUAAGAAAUUAGUUGUUAAAUAAACAAUCAAAUAUCAUUA
rnacentral:lncRNA from 1 species